UACGGAGGAUGCGAGCGUUAUCCGGAUUUAUUGGGUUUAAAGGGUGCGCAGGCGGCACGGCAAGCCGGCGGUCAAAUCGCGGGGCUCAACCCCGCCCAGCCGUCGGAACUGCCGGGCUAGAGUGGGCGAGAAGUGCGCGGAAUGCGUGGUGUAGCGGUGAAAUGCAUAGAUAUCACGCAGAACUCCGAUUGCGAAGGCAGCGCACCGGCGCCCUACUGACGCUCAGGCACGAACGCGUGGGUAUCGAACAGG
rnacentral:rRNA from 1 species